UAUUUGGCAAUGGGCGCAAGCCUGACCCAGCAACGCCGCGUGCAGGAAGAAGGCUUUCGGGUUGUAAACCUCUUUUAAGAGGGACGAAGUAAGUGACGGUACCUCUUGACUAAGCCACGGCUAACUACGUGCCAGCAGCCGCGGUAAUACGUAGGUGGCAAGCGUUAUCCGGAUUUAUUGGGUGUAAAGGGCGUGUAGGCGGGAGCGCAAGUCAGAUGUGAAAACUCAGGGCUCAACCCUGAGCCUGCAUUUGAAACUGUGUUUCUUGAGUGCUGGAGAGGCAAUCGGAAUUCCGUGUGUAGCGGUGAAAUGCGUAGAUAUACGGAGGAACACCAGUGGCGAAGGCGGAUUGCUGGACAGUAACUGACGCUGAGGCGCGAAAGCGUGGGGAGCAAACAGG
rnacentral:rRNA from 1 species